GACAGAGGGUGCAAACGUUGUUCGGAAUUACUGGGCAUAAAGCGCACGUAGGUGGUCCACUAAGUCGAGUGUGAAAUCCCCCGGCUCAACCGGGGAAUUGCGCUCGAUACUGGCGGGCUAGAGGUCGAUAGGGGUGAGCGGAACUCCAGGUGGAGCGGUGAAAUGCGUAGAUAUCUGGAGGAACGCCGGUGGCGAAAGCGGCACGCUGGACCUUUCUGACGCUGAGGCGCGAAAGCCAGGGGAGCAACGGGG
rnacentral:rRNA from 1 species